UAAAAAAAAAACAACCAUUGAGUUGCUUUACUUCCAAAUUCAAUUCAUCCACCAUACAUAAAACAACUACAGGGAGGAAAUCGAAAAAAAAUCCUAAAUCAUAAAAUUUCCAGUGCAUGCACCACGAAGCUCCAUAUACGGUUACAUACCACUCCUAAAAUCAACUUAUGCAGAACUAUACACCAUAAGCAUUCUCAAAGAUACAAUAUCCGGCUUGCAUACUACUCAAACGACAUAAUCCAUACUACUCAAACGACAUAAUCCAUCGAAAAUUAAUCUGCAAGAAGAAUAAAGAAAAUUUACCCUAACAACACCAUUAAAAAAAGGGGAAUUCUGGAGAUAUUUUUGUUCAACCUGAAUGGAAAAUCAACAGAAUUUCAAAUUUAAAACAGUGAGCAUUUUUCAAACCCAAAAUUGAAUCAUCAGAAAACGAAUUCAGUGCAACCAUUAUGCUCAAGGGAAAUUUAUUGUGACAAAAUUCAAACGGAUAGCAAUCAUGUCCGUGGAUACCUAUGACUUUUCUUAUAACAACUUCAUAGGUCCAAUCCCAAAUUCUAUCAUUUUCCUAAAGAUGUUCCAAUUUCGCAAAAUCUUAAAUCCAACUACAUUUCUCAAUGACCAAAUGGCCACAGAACCAAAACAAAGCCUUGAAGGAGGGAAGAAGAAAGCAAAAAAAUAAAAAAUAAAAAAACUGAGUAAAGGUACUGUUCAGCUUUUGCAAUAAUAAUUUACCUAACAAAAGUUUCCAUUUGUUGGAGGUUUAGGCACUGGCAGCUGUAGAAAGCAAUAUAAUAUGUCAUUGGUAGACAGAUGUUAUGCUUAAGAGUACAAUAGCAACUCCUAAUUCAAUUACAGAAAAGAACCAACAUCAUCAACAACCUUUUUGCAUACACUAACAUUUUAGUCAACCAAUUUACAUGAUAAGAACCGUACAUUGGCAUUGCGACAAAAGGAGAUCGACUAAAAUCUUCCCUAAAAAUAUCUACUUCUUUUCAAUUGUGAAGCAUUCUGCAUGUAUUCACUAUCAAAUACUUAUAUACAUGAUCAAACCUGUCAAAACAACAUCGUUUGACAACCAUCAUAAAAAAUACACCCAAAAUUAAAAUUAGUAAUAAGAAACUAAAAUAAAAGCAAGAAAAAUAAAAAUUGAAAAUUGAUAGGACUUACAAAUGCCCAUUUUUUCUUACUUCCAGAAAACUACUCAAGAAACAAUGAGAUAAAGAGUUCCAAAAAUAAGAAAUAUAAGCAUUUUCUAACUUAUUGAGUCUCCUACCGAAAAAAUGAAAUAUUAAUGUUGCAUAAUAGAAGAGAAAACAACAGUAGAUUUCUUUUAUGCACUGUAUUUUUCCAACUUACCCCAAUAUAAUAGCAUUCCACAACAUUAUAUUGUUAUCCUGGGGCUCCGCGCUAAUCCCUGCAAGUGGGUCCUGUUGCAGCUGUUGAAGUCUCUCAUGAGCCUAUUCCUUUCAAGUCUCGUCGUUGCUAAUUUGCUACCACCCAUAUAUUCAUGAACCCAAUUUAAUAAACCGUAUUUUAAGAUUAACUGUGCAUUGAGCGAAAACCAAUUUCAAUAUUUUUUCCAAUGCCUGCCAAAACAUCAAUAUUGGGGCAACUCAUUUGCGCAACUUAAACACAUAAUUACCAAUACAAAUCCUUUAAACUACGACGUAGAUAACUUUAGCUGAGCUACAUAUAGACAAAUUCAAAGUUCAAGACUUGAAAUUUCACUUUAAUUAAGCAGCUUUUCAAAAACUGUAGUCUUGAGUUUUCUCAGACAGUAGCAAAUUUUUCAUAGCUGAUUUCAGUUACCCCAAAUCAAUUAAAAAUAAAUAAAUACAUUUAAAUUCCAAAUUGGGCAUGAAAUUACUUGCCUUGAGUAGGGAGGGUUUUACAAAAUGCCGCCUUUGGAGACCCUACCUUUGGGCGGCUGCGGCGCCUGGUGUGGCAGUGCGAGAUGCGAGUCACACAGAGAGUUUGAGAAGCAACGAUUAAUUUUUUGAAUGAGAGAAAUGGAAUGAAGCAGAAGACUUGAGAAGAGGCAUCUUCAACGAUGAUGAACACUCUACAAACAAAAUCCCCAAAAUCACAAAAAGAAAUUUGAACACAAAAUCCAUUUGUAAAUCCAAAAUCACAAAAAUGAAAUUCAAACAAAACAAAAAGGAAAUUAAGAGAGAACGGGAGAAUAGAGAGAGAUUGAAGUACUGUUAGUUAAAGA
rnacentral:lncRNA from 1 species